rnacentral:lncRNA from 1 species
AGAUGCUCUAAUGUAAAUUUCCCUUGGAAAUGUGUUUAGGGUGACAGAGGAGAGAGAGGAACACCUGGAGAAAAGGGGGA